rnacentral:rRNA from 1 species
GACGAGUUUGAUCAUGGCUCAGAACGAACGCUGGCGGCAUGCCUAACACAUGCAAGUCGAACGAACCCUUCGGGGUUAGUGGCGCACGGGUGCGUAACGCGUGGGGAUCUGCCCAAAGGUUCGGAAUAACUCAGAGAAAUUUGAGCUAAUACCGGAUAAUGUCUUCGGACCAAAGAUUUAUUGCCUUUGGAUGAACCCGCGUAGGAUUAGCUUGUUGGUGGGGUAAAGGCCUACCAAGGCGACGAUCCUUAGCUGGUCUGAGAGGAUGAUCAGCCACACUGGGACUGAGACACGGCCCAGACUCCUACGGGAGGCAGCAGUGGGGAAUAUUGGACAAUGGGCGAAAGCCUGAUCCAGCAAUGCCGCGUGAGUGAUGAAGGCCUUAGGGUUGUAAAGCUCUUUUACCAGGGAUGAUAAUGACAGUACCUGGAGAAUAAGCUCCGGCUAACUCCGUG